CAUUAGUUGUCCAUCAUUUAGUUUGGGUCGACUCUAAUGAGACUGCCGGUGACAAACCGGAGGAAGGUGGGGAUGACGUCAAGUCCUCAUGGCCCUUAUGGGUAGGGCUUCACACGUCAUACAAUGGUCGGUACAGAGGGUUGCCAAGCCGCGAGGUGGAGCCAAUCCCUUAAAGCCGAUCGUAGUCCGGAUCGUAGUCUGCAACUCGACUACGUGAAGUCGGAAUCGCUAGUAAUCGCAGAUCAGCAUGCUGCGGUGAAUACGUUCCCGGGUCUU
rnacentral:rRNA from 1 species